rnacentral:rRNA from 1 species
AGCUCAUUAAAUCACAACGAACAGUGAUUUGGGCCUUGAUUUAUUGCUAUUCUCAGCGCAUUCCCUGCAAAUAAAAAUAGAGUCAGUAGUGAUUUAAUCAUUCGAUCAUUUAACCAACCCUCAAACUGCUUAUCUUCGCCCUAUGCGAAUAGGAGAUGUAAUAGGCCAUUUAGAAAGCAUCGCUCCACCGAGCUUGCAAGAAAGCUAUGACAAUAGUGGACUCAUAGUAGGAGAGAAGAGUAACGACGUGAGCGGAGUGCUUAUCAGUUUAGACUGCAUAGAAGCUACGGUUAAUGAGGCCAUAGACCAAAAAUGCAAUCUGAUUGUAGCUCAUCAUCCCAUUGUUUUUGGCGGAUUAAAGCGAUUUAAUAACGCCAACUAUGUGCAGCGUACGGUGCAGCUGGCUAUCAAGAAUGAUAUUGCGAUGUACGCUAUCCAUACGAACCUUGACAAUGUAUAUUCCAAUGGUGUGAAUGGCAAAAUAGCAUGGAGAAUUGCCAUUGAAACUGAAGUUCUUGAAUAUGGAUGAGGUGGUUGGAAUAUAACAUGUAGCGGUGAAAUGCUUAGAUAUGUUAUAGAACACCAAUUGCGAAGGCAGAUCACUAAACCAUUAUUGACGCUGAGGUACGAAAGCGUGGGGAGCGAACAGGAUUAGAUACCCUGGUAGUCCACGCCGUAAACGAUGUUCACUCGCUGUUGGCGAUAUACUGUCAGCGGCCAAGCGAAAGCAUUAAGUGAACCACCUGGGGAGUACGAUCGCAAGGUUGAAACUCAAAGGAAUUGACGGGGGCCCGCACAAGCGGAGGAACAUGUGGUUUAAUUCGAUGAUACGCGAGGAACCUUACCUGGACUUAAAUGUAGAUUGCAUAGAGUGGAGACAUUCUUUUCUUCGGACUAUCUACAAGGUGCUGCAUGGUUGUCGUCAGCUCGUGCCGUGAGGUGUCGGGUUAAGUCCCAUAACGAGCGCAACCCCUAUUUUUAGUUACCAGCGAAUAAUGUCGGGGACUCUAGAAAGACUGCCUGUGUAAACAGUGAGGAAGGUGGGGAUGAUGUCAAAUCAUCACGGCCCUUAUGUCUUGGGCUACACACGUGCUACAAUGGUUACUACAGUAGGAUGCCAUCUGGUGACAGAGAGCUAAUCUAUAAAGGUAAUCUUAGUUCGGAUCGGAGUCUGCAACUCGACUCUGUGAAGUUGGAAUCGCUAGUAAUCGUAUAUCAGCAAUGAUACGGUGAAUACGUUCCCGGGCCUUGUACACACCGCCCGUCAAGCCAUGGAAGUUUGUGGUGCCUGAAGUCAGUAACCGAAAGGAUCUGCCUAGGGUAAAACAGAUAACUAGGGCUAAGUCGUAACAAGGUAGCCGUACCGGAAGGUGUGGCUG